rnacentral:rRNA from 1 species
UACGAAGGGUGCAAGCGUUACUCGGAAUUACUGGGCGUAAAGCGUGCGUAGGCGGUUUGUUAAGUCCGUUGUGAAAGCCCUGGGCUCAACCUGGGAAUUGCAGUGGAUACUGGCGAGCUAGAGUGCGGUAGAGGAUGGUGGAAUUCCCGGUGUAGCGGUGAAAUGCGUAGAGAUCGGGAGGAACACCCGUGGCGAAGGCGGCCUUCUGGACAGUGACUGACGCUGAGAUGCGAAAGCGUGGGGAGCAAACAGG